rnacentral:rRNA from 1 species
GUCCCUACGGGGCGCAGCAGUGGGGAAUAUUGCACAAUGGGGGAAACCCUGAUGCAGCGACGCCGCGUGAGCGAUGAAGUAUUUCGGUAUGUAAAGCUCUAUCAGCAGGGAAGAAAAUGACGGUACCUGACUAAGAAGCCCCGGCUAACUACGUGCCAGCAGCCGCGGUAAUACGUAGGGGGCGAGCGUUGUCCGGAAUGACUGGGCGUAAAGGGAGUGUAGGCGGCAAUAUAAGUUAGAUGUGAAAUCCCGCGGCUCAACCGCGGAACUGCAUCUAAAACUAUAUAGCUGGAGUGCAGGAGAGG